rnacentral:rRNA from 1 species
ANCGCUNCUACACAUGCAAGUCGAACGGUCCUUCGGGAUAGUGGCGGACGGGUGAGUAACACGUGGGAACGUACCCUUAGGUUCGGAACAACACAGGGAAACUUGUGCUAAUACCGGAUAAGCCCUUCGGGGGAAAGAUUUAUCGCCUUUGGAGCGGCCCGCGUCUGAUUAGCUUGUUGGUGAGGUAAUGGCUCACCAAGGCUACGAUCAGUAGCUGGUCUGAGAGGAUGGCCAGCCACACUGGGACUGAGACACGGCCCAGACUCCUACGGGAGGCAGCAGUGGGGAAUCUUGCGCAAUGGGCGAAAGCCUGACGCAGCCAUGCCGCGUGGAUGAUGAAGGUCUUAGGAUUGUAAAAUCCUUUCACCGGGGACGAUAAUGACGGUACCCGGAGAAGAAGCCCCGGCUAACUUCGUGCCAGCAGCCGCGGUAAUACGAAGGGGGCUAGCGUUGCUCGGAAUUACUGGGCGUAAAGGGCGCGUAGGCGGACAGUUAAGUUGGGGGUGAAAGCCCGGGGCUCAACCUCGGAAAUGCCUUCAAUACUGGCUGUCUUGAGUACGGGAGAGGUGAGUGGAACUCCGAGUGUAGAGGUGAAAUUCGUAGAUAUUCGGAAGAACCACCCCAGUGGCGAAGGCGACUCACUGGCCCGUUANCUGACGCUGARGCGCGAAAGCGUGGGGAGCAAACANGAUUAGAUACCCUGGUAGCCCACGCCNUAAACGAUGAAUGCUANUUGUCNGCAUGCAUGCAUGUCNGUG